rnacentral:misc_RNA from 1 species
UUGGCUCGUAUUUUGGCAGAACUCAAGCUCUUAACCACUGAUGUUGGUCGAAUGGCGAUGUCAGCAGCAGCCGUAAAUGAUGUUGCAGCAUGGAUUUUACUUGCUCUUGCCAUUGCCCUGUCUGGAACUGGACAUUCACCCCUCACAUCCUUAUGGGUGCUUCUAUCUGGGGCUGGAUUUAUUAUCUGUUGCGUUGCAAUUAUCCCUCCUGUCUUUAAAUGGAUGACGCACCGUUGUCCUCAGGGUGAGCCAGUAAAUGAGAUGUAUGUCUGUGCUACAUUAGCUACUGUUUUGGCAGCGGGGUUUUGCACUGAUUCUAUUGGAAUUCAUGCCCUUUUUGGUGCAUUUGUUAUUGGAAUUCUUGUCCCAAAGGAGGGACCAUUUGCUGGUGCUCUAGUUGAAAAAGUUGAAGAUCUUGUAUCUGG